ensembl:lncRNA
GUGAAUGUUCUGCAGGCUACUACUGUGACUGGGGCUCCAGCAGUCUGGAGCAGAGUCUCUGUCCUUCCGGUUUCUAUUGCCCAGCAGGCCCACACAAGCCCCUGGCCUGCACUGCAAGCACUUACAGCUCCGUCAUGGGCAAAAGUCACCAAGGAAAUUGUUAGCCAUGCCCAUUAUGCUUCUACCGUCAGGUAGCAGAGCCUCUUCCAUGUCUGCCGGGGCAUUUCUGCCCCACGGGCACAUCACAGGGCACUCAGUUCCCCUGUCCUCCAGGAACAGUGCAGGCACAGUCUGGGACAGCCAGUAUAGAUGAAUGUCUACCAUGUCCUGCAGGCAUGUUUUGUGCUCGCCAUGGUCUUUCAGAGCCUACAGGGUGCUGCCAGGAUGGAUUUCACUGCCCUUUAGGGGCUACAAGCCCAAAUGGCACUUGAAAUCUGGUAUAUAUUCUUCUGUCUCUUAAUAAAGACACUGUGUGUUCAGAAAGGGUUAAACUAAUUUACAAUGUGUGAUUUGCAGAUUGAAUCUACAGGCAACAACUUGCACCCGCCUGGCCAUUAUUGUCCAACUGGUAUUGGCUUUCCUCUCCCAUGCCCUGCUGGAACAUUCUCCAGCUCCCCAUGGUUGAGUGGGACAGAGCAGUGCCAGCCAUGUCCUCCUGGGUACUUCUGUGUGCAGACUGCUAUGGUCCAUCCAUCAGAAGCAGCUCUCUGUGAUGCUGGGUCAUUUUUGCCCUUUUGGCACUGCUGCAGCUGUACCGUGUCCUGUGGGCACACUGGGACAGGUUACCAGGGCUCAGUCGGAGGCUGCCUGAGUGCCCUGUCCUACCGGCCUCUACUGCAACCUGGAACAUCACAACCACAGGGGGGUUACUCCAUAGAAAGCUGUCUUCCAUGCCCAGCAGGGCAUCAUUGUGCCAGCGAGGCCCUGGAUGCUCCAACUGGACACUGUGCUGCAGGCUUUUACUGCCCCAUAGACUUCUCCUCCACCACCCCGCAUGCCUUCCACUGCCCCAAAGGUCAUUACUGUCCCUUAGGCUCACCCCUGGCCUUGCCCUGCCCCACGGGACAGUACCAGCCAAAUCCGGGCUCGGAUAACUGCAUCCCCUGCCGUCCAGGCUAUUACUGUGAGGAGGCAAUUAUCGGAGACCCCCGGCCUUGCCCCCCACACUCCUACUGCCCUGCAGCCACAAUGAUUCCUCAGCCCUGUCACAAUGGCACAUAUACCCCACCUGAGGUCGGGGGUCUGCUAGAGGAGAGAGAGUGUUUGCCGUGUCCACCAGGAAAGUUCUGCAAGGCUGGCCAGGUGAAAGGCCUGUGUGCUGCUUGAUUCCUGUGCAUCUCUGGCAUUUCAGAGUACAGCCCCCAGGAUGCUUCUCUGCUCAACAGAGAGUGGGGAGCACAGUGAGUGGGGAGCACAGUGUGCUGGGCCGUGUCCUGCUGGUA